GCGUACGGGUGAGUAACACGUGGGUAAUCUACCCUUUGGUGGGGAAUAACUCUGGGAAACCGGAGCUAAUACCGCAUAAUCCUGAGAAGGAAAAGCAGCAAUGCGCCGAAGGAGGAGCCCGCGGCCGAUUAGCCAGUUGGUAGGGUAAUGGCCUACCAAAGCAAAGAUCGGUAGCCGGCCUGAGAGGGCACACGGCCACACUGGCACUGAAACACGGGCCAGACUCCUACGGGAGGCAGCAGUGGGGAAUCUUGCACAAUGGGGGAAACCCUGAUGCAGCGACGCCGCGUGAGCGAUGAAGCCCUUCGGGGUGUAAAGCUCCUUCGGCAGGGAAGAUUAUGACGGUACCUGCAGAAGCAGCUGCGGCUAACUACGUGCCAGCAGCCGCGGUAAUACGUAGGCAGCAAGCGUUGUUCGGAGUUACUGGGCGUAAAGGGUGUGUAGGCGGCUCCUUAAGUUUGGUGUGAAAUCUCCCGGCUCAACCGGGAGGGUGCGCCGAAUACUGAGGGGCUAGAGUGCGGGAGAGGAAAGUGGAAUUCCUGGUGUAGCGGUGAAAUGCGUAGAUAUCAGGAGGAACACCGGUGGUGUAGACGGCUUUCUGGACCGUAACUGACGCUGAAACACGAAAGCGUGGGUAGCAAACAGGAUUAGAUACCCUGGUAGUCCACGCCCUAAACGAUGCAUAUUUGGUGUGGGUCAUUCAGUUGAUCCGUGCCGGAGCUAACGCGUUAAAUAUGCCGCCUGGGGAGUACAGUCGCAAGGCUGAAACUCAAAGGAAUUGACGGGGGCCCGCACAAGCGGUGGAGCAUGUGGUUCAAUUCGA
rnacentral:rRNA from 1 species